rnacentral:rRNA from 1 species
UACGUAGGGUGCAAGCGUUUAAUCGGAAUUACUGGGCGUAAAGCGUGCGCAGGCGGUUGUGCAAGACAGAUGUGAAAUCCCCGGGCUCAACCUGGGAAUUGCAUUUGUGACUGCACGGCUAGAGUGUGUCAGAGGGGGGUAGAAUUCCACGUGUGAGCAGUGAAAUGCGUAGAGAUGUGGAGGAAUACCGAUGGCGAAGGCAGCCCCCUGGGAUAACACUGACGCCUCAUGCACGAAAGCGUGGGGAGCAAACAGG